GGAGCACAACGUCGAAAGCAGCCGUUGGGAGCCCAGGAGGCGGGGCGCCUGUGGGAGCCGUGGAGGGAACUUUCCCAGUCCCCGAGGCGGAUCCGGUGUUGCAUCCUUGGAGCGAGCUGAGAGCUCGAGUACAGAACCUGCUAAGGCCAUCAAACCUAUUGAUCGGAAGUCAGUCCAUCAGAUUUGCUCUGGGCCGGUGGUACCGAGUCUAAGCACUGCGGUGAAGGAGUUAGUAGAAAACAGUCUGGAUGCUGGUGCCACUAAUAUUGAUCUAAAGCUUAAGGACUAUGGAGUGGAUCUCAUUGAAGUUUCAGGCAAUGGAUGUGGGGUAGAAGAAGAAAACUUCGAAGGCUUAAAAACGUGCCUGCUUCCCCUUCGCCUUCUGCCGUGAUUGUCAGUUUCCUGAGGCCUCCCCAGCCAUGCUUCCUGUACAGCCUGCAGAACUGUGAGUCAAUUAAACCUGUUUUCUUCA
rnacentral:lncRNA from 1 species